AUCUGAAGCAAAGAAAACCCUAAAAUCCCAAAAUCAAUUACCUGGAGGCCAGCUUCUGCGCAUCCUUCACCACCACCGCCGUGACACUUUGUGAGAUUUCCUUUCCUUUUUUUCCUUUUAUCAUUCUCAUGUAUUUGUUGAGACUUUGUUGAGAUGCGAUUGAGCGAUUUUGAGAGAGAGAUUUGGUUGCGUUUGAGAGACUUUGAGAGUAAAGAUUGUGAGGGCGACACCGAGAGAAGAGAGAGCGAGGGAGCGAGUUUGGAAAGGUUGAUUCGUGAGGUUAGGGAGAAAGGAAGAAGACGAGCUUCUGUUGUUUUCUUUCGUUUCCAUUUUUUUUCUUUUUUUUUCUGUUUUCUUUUUUUAAUUAAUUUCUUUUUUAUUCAUCUAACUUAACCUUUUUUACAGGGAUAAUAUAAAAACCAUGAAAAUGUUUGUUUUGUUUUUUUAUUUUAAAUUUUUAUUCCGGUUCAAUAUAUUUAGGGUAGUAUCUCAAUAGCAGAUAGUAUUGAGUGGCCUAGUGGAGAGAGUUUAGUUGCAUAAUAUUAGGUGG
rnacentral:lncRNA from 1 species